rnacentral:rRNA from 1 species
AACGAACGCUGGCGGCAUGCCUAACACAUGCAAGUCGAACGAGACCUUCGGGUCUAGUGGCGCACGGGUGCGUAACGCGUGGGAACCUGCCUUUAGGUUCGGAAUAACUCAGAGAAAUUUGAGCUAAUACCGGAUGAUGUCUUCGGACCAAAGAUUUAUCGCCUUUAGAUGGGCCCGCGUUGGAUUAGCUAGUUGGUGGGAUAAAGGCCUACCAAGGCGACGAUCCAUAGCUGGUCUGAGAGGAUGAUCAGCCACACUGGGACUGAGACACGGCCCAGACUCCUACGGGAGGCAGCAGUGGGGAAUAUUGGACAAUGGGCGAAAGCCUGAUCCAGCAAUGCCGCGUGAGUGAUGAAGGCCUUAGGGUUGUAAAGCUCUUUUACCCGAGAUGAUAAUGACAGUAUCGGGAGAAUAAGCUCCGGCUAACUCCGUG